GAUUAAUCUGUUAAGAUGAAACUUGUGCAUUCAUUGUGUGUGUUCAAUCAUAAUCGGAAUCAAAUUACAUCUGUUUCUGGAGGUGCGGAUCAAGGUUUUGAAAAAAGGGGGCCCCAGCCCAAGGCAAGCAAACGUUUGGAGUGAUACUUGUAAAUAGUUUAUACAUUUAUCUUAUAAGUAGCUCCAUAAGGGGGUCGGGGCCCCUAAAUCCGCCACUGUUCAAGCAUCUACGUACAACAAUUAUGAAUUUGUUCAUUAAUAUAAAAAAAUUAUAAGGAUAUGUGGCUUGUGUGUUUGAUUGCCAAUACACCUUAUCGCUAUUUGUCCACCAUUACUGGCCAUGGACAUCACAAAAGUUCCGGGCUCCCGUAAAAUGUUGACGUCGUCAUAAAAAAUAUCUGAUGCCACAAUGGAAAAGUGAUUGUUGUUUGACGUCAAAAGUCCAAGCAGGAUAGUUUCUCGGGUCAAGCUGGAAUAGCGAUAAGGUGUAUUAUUGUAUGACGUAUGCUGACAUAAAAAGUUCAAGCAGGACAGAUUUCCAAAUACUGAAAUAGCGAUAAGGUGUAUGAGACAGCUAUCCACCAGAAUUUAAAUGACUUGGAUAAAAGAAAUUAUAUAGGUCACUGUACGGCUUUCAAAACUGAGAAAACUAAUGCCAUAUAGUCCACUUUGAAGCCUUGACAAACAAAUGUAAAAUUUUUCUCAACACAAUUGAAACAAAACAACUAACUGCCUACAUUAAAUACACAUUAUGAAAAAGAAAUUUGACAGACUUCAACAACAACUAUUGCAAUAAGCAUGACUCAAUACCUUGUUUCCGAGGCACACAAACAAGUUACAAUAACACUAAUAUAAGCACCAUUUGAGUAUGGAGAUUUUUUUUUAUAGUAAAAUCAGUGUAUGUAUGUAUUUGCAAAACAGUAAAUUAAAUUUCCAUUAACAGCUUAAUGAACAUUACAAAGACUAUAAAAGACUUCAGUACAAGCAAGAUAAUAUAAACUGUUGCUUAAAAUUAUAUUUAUUGCUUCAUACACACAAUGUACAUACAAUGUAUCUUUAUUUUUUAACAGGAGCUAAAAGAAAAGCCACAAAGGACAAGUUCAAUAUGCAGGUUUACAAUUUGGAAGUGGCGCAGGUUCUUUGGAAUGUCUACAACCUUUCAGGAGAAUUUUUUUUUGAAAAGCAUGGCACAGCAAGAAAAAGAUAUAAGACACUACAAGACAUUCCAAGUGAUUUUGAAUAAGACAAUUGAUUGACUUUUUCAAUGUAUUCUUAAAUAAAUCAAAUAGUUGAUGUAAAA